rnacentral:rRNA from 1 species
UACGAAGGGGGCUAGCGUUGCUCGGAAUUACUGGGCGUAAAGCGCACGUAGGCGGCUUUCUAAGUCGGGGGUGAAAUCCUGGAGCUCAACUCCAGAACUGCCUUCGAUACUGGAAAGCUCGAGUCCCGGAGAGGGUAGUGGAAUUCUCGGUGUAGAGGUGAAAUUCGUAGAUAUCGAGAGGAACACCGGCGGCGAAAGCGGCUACCUGGACGAGGACUGACGCUGAGAUGCGAAAGCGUGGGGAGCAAACAGG